GUGGGGAAUAUUGGACAAUGGGCGAAAGCCUGAUCCAGCCAUGCCGCGUGUGUGAAGAAGGUCUUCGGAUUGUAAAGCACUUUAAGUUGGGAGGAAGGGCAGUAAGUUAAUACCUUGCUGUUUUGACGUUACCGACAGAAUAAGCACCGGCUAACUUCGUGCCAGCAGCCGCGGUAAUACGAAGGGUGCAAGCGUUAAUCGGAAUUACUGGGCGUAAAGCGCGCGUAGGUGGUUUUGUAAGUUGGAGGUGAAAUCCCCGGGCUCAACCUGGGAACUGCCUCCAAAACUGCAUGACUAGAGUACGGUAGAGGGUAGUGGAAUUUCCUGUGUAGCGGUGAAAUGCGUAGAUAUAGGAAGGAACACCAGUGGCGAAGGCGACUACCUGGACUGAUACUGACACUGAGGCACGAAAGCGUGGGGAGCAAACAGGAUUAGAUACCCGGGUAGUCC
rnacentral:rRNA from 1 species